GAUGAACGCUGGCGGCGUGCCUAAUACAUGCAAGUCGAGCGAAUGGAUUGAGAGCUUGCUCUUAUGAAGUUAGCGGCGGACGGGUGAGUAACACGUGGGUAACCUGCCCAUAAGACUGGGAUAACUCCGGGAAACCGGGGCUAAUACCGGAUAACAUUUUGAACCGCAUGGUUCGAAAUUGAAAGGCGGCUACGGCUGUCACUUAUGGAUGGACCCGCGUCGCAUGAGCUAGUUGGUGGGGUAACGGCUCGCCAAGGCAACGAUGCGUAGCCGACCUGAGAGGGUGAUCGGCCACACUGGGACUGAGACACGGCCCAGACUCCUACGGGAGGCAGCAGUAGGGAAUCUUCCGCAAUGGACGAAAGUCUGACGGAGCAACGCCGCGUGAGUGAUGAAGGCUUUCGGGUCGUAAAACUCUGUUGUUAGGGAAGAACAAGUGCUAGUUGAAUAAGCUGGCACCUUGACGGUACCUAACCAGAAAGCCACGGCUAACUACGUGCCAGCCGCCGCGGUAA
rnacentral:rRNA from 1 species